GGGCGCAUAGCUCAGUUGGUAGAGCAGCUGACUCUUAAUCAGCGGGUCGCAGGUUCGAGCCCUGCUGCGCCCACCA
rnacentral:tRNA from 3 species